rnacentral:lncRNA from 1 species
UGUCCUUGACCCUCACCUGUUAAAAUGGCGAAGAGGCGGGGGGUUGGGGAGGAAAACCUUGGCGUUGCCCCAGAGUCUGUCCGCUUCUUGAGUCUGUUCAUGGGCUUCAUUAACACGGAUAACACCUAGACCGGGGCAGUAAGUAUUAAGACCCUUCUGCUUUCAGAGGAACUCUCGAAGGUUCCUGCAAUCAAAUCUCCAUCUCUUUGCAAGGACUUUUCCAGGUACUGUGGUCACCCGUGGCCAGAACCCGAUGACCUUCCUCCUGAUGAACUGACACUACCUCAGUGCCCACCUCACGCCUCUCGCCAUGCAGGGGUUUUCCCAUCUCCCAAGAUCCCAGGAAGAACGGUGAGUCCCCUAUGAUGAAGUAUUGAGAGA